rnacentral:rRNA from 1 species
UACGUAGGGACCGAGCGUUGUCCGGAUUCAUUGGGCGUAAAGAGCUCGUAGGUGGUUUGUCGCGUUGUCCGUGAAAACUCACAACUCAAUUGUGGGCGUGCGGGCGAUACGGGCAGACUGGAGUACUGCAGGGGAGACUGGAAUUCCUGGUGUAGCGGUGGAAUGCGCAGAUAUCAGGAGGAACACCGGUGGCGAAGGCGGGUCUCUGGGCAGUAACUGACGCUGAGGAGCGAAAGCGUGGGGAGCGAACAGG